rnacentral:rRNA from 1 species
GGCGAACUGGUGAGUAACACGUGGGUAACCUGCCCUUGAAGUAGGGGAUAACACUUGGAAACAGGUGCUAAUACCGUAUAACAACCAAAACCACCUGGUUUUGGUUUAAAAGACGGCUUCGGCUGUCACUUUAGGAUGGACCCGCGGCGUAUUAGCUUGUUGGUAAGGUAACGGCUUACCAAGGCGAUGAUACGUAGCCGACCUGAGAGGGUAAUCGGCCACAUUGGGACUGAGACACGGCCCAAACUCCUACGGGAGGCAGCAGUAGGGAAUCUUCCACAAUGGACGAAAGUCUGAUGGAGCAACGCCGCGUGAGUGAUGAAGGGUUUCGGCUCGUAAAACUCUGUUGUUGGAGAAGAACAGGUGUCAGAGUAACUGUUGACAUCUUGACGGUAUCCAACCAGAAAGCCACGGCUAACUACGUGCCAGCAGCCGCGGUAAUACGUAGGUGGCAAGCGUUGUCCGGAUUUAUUGGGCGUAAAGCGAGCGCAGGCGGUUUUUUAGGUCUGAUGUGAAAGCCUUCGGCUUAACCGGAGAAGUGCAUCGGAAACCGGGAGACUUGAGUGCAGAAGAGGACAGUGGAACUCCAUGUGUAGCGGUGAAAUGCGUAGAUAUAUGGAAGAACACCAGUGGCGAAGGCGGCUGUCUGGUCUGUAA